AUUGAACGCUGGCGGCAUGCUUUACACAUGCAAGUCGAACGGCAGCGCGGGGGCAACCCUGGCGGCGAGUGGCGAACGGGUGAGUAAUGCAUCGGAACGUAUCCUGUAAUGGGGGAUAACGUAGCGAAAGUUACGCUAAUACCGCAUACGCUCGAGAGAGGAAAGUGGGGGAUCGCAAGACCUCGCGCGAGAGGAGCGGCCGAUGGCGGAUUAGCUAGUUGGUGGGGUAAAGGCCCACCAAGGCGACGAUCCGUAGCGGGUCUGAGAGGACGGCCCGCCACACUGGGACUGAGACACGGCCCAGACUCCUACGGGAGGCAGCAGUGGGGAAUUUUGGACAAUGGGGGCAACCCUGAUCCAGCCAUUCCGCGUGAGUGAAGAAGGCC
rnacentral:rRNA from 1 species